rnacentral:rRNA from 1 species
GACGGACGCUGGCGGCGUGCUUAACACAUGCAAGUCGAACGGGCCCGCCCCUGUUUUUGGGGGUGGGUUGAGUGGCGAACGGGUGAGUAUCACGUGAGUAACCUGCCCCCUGCUCCUGGAUAACUGCUUGAAAGGGCGGCUAAUACGGGGUGUGCCGGCUGGUCCGCAUGGGCCUGGUCGGGAUAGUUUCAUCUUCGGGUGUUUCGGUGGGGGAUGGGCUCGCGGCCUAUCAGCUUGUUGGUGGGGUGAUGGCCCACCAGGGCGGUGACGGGUAGCCGGCCUGAGAGGGUGGGCGGCCACACUGGGACGGAGACACGGCCCAGACGCCUGCGGGAGGCAGCAGGGGGGGGUAUUGCACAAUGGGCGGAAGCCUGAUGCAGCGACGUCGCGUGAGGGAGGGAGGCCUUCGGGUUGGGAACCUCUUUCUCCGGGGGUGAAGGCCCUGUCCGUUGCGGCGGGGUUGACGGUAGCCGGGGAUGAAGCGCCGGCUAACUACGUG